CCCUAUGGGGCGCAGCAGGCGAUCAACCACGAGUCGGUUCGUGUUUCUCCAGGGGAUGUGGCCCAAAAAAUAUUAGGACGAGUUCUGUCGUCCGAUCAUGAUGGGGGCGACAUUACAUUUACAGGGUACAGAUGAAGACAACUAUGCCUCUUAAACCAGCUUUUGAAACACGUCUCACCGAGAUUGUUUUUGCCGCUAUUGUGGCGUUUUUUCUUUUUCUUCCGAUUGUUUUGGCAGUGCUUCAUAUUCCAAAAUCUUCCCAUAUUUAUACGGCGGCGCCAUACAGGGUUGCCCCCUUUGGAUUUUUCAAACAGGUUACUUAUGAAGAAAAAGACGAUAUCGAUAUUCUUUUUCUCGGCACAUCAUUAACCUGGAAUGGAAUUGAUGCCAGAAUGGUCAAGGAGGAACUUUCCAGGGUUCACCACCGAAAAGCUGUUGUCCUGAAUUUUGGGGGGAAUUGGCGGGAGGGC
rnacentral:rRNA from 1 species